rnacentral:rRNA from 1 species
UACGUAGGCAGCAAGCGUUGUUCGGAGUUACUGGGCGUAAAGGGUGUGUAGGCGGCUUCGUAAGUUCGGUGUGAAAUCUCCUGGCUCAACUGGGAGGGUGCGCCGAAAACUGCGGAGCUGGAGCGCAGGAGAGGAAAGCAGAAUUCCUGGUGUAGCGGUGAAAUGCGUAGAUAUUCGGAAGAACACCAGUGGCGAAGGCGGCUCACUGGACCGGUAUUGACGCUGAGGUGCGAAAGCGUGGGGAGCAAACAGG